rnacentral:tRNA from 1 species
AGAGUGAUGGCAGAUUAUGCACCAGAUUUAAGCCCUGGCCAAGGCCUUACGCCUCACUCUA